GACGAACGCUGGCGGCGUGCUUAACACAUGCAAGUCGAGCGGUAAGGCCCUUUCGGGGGUACACGAGCGGCGAACGGGUGAGUAACACGUGGGUGACCUGCCCUCAGCUCUGGGAUAAGCCUGGGAAACCGGGUCUAAUACCGGAUAUGACUCCAUGACGCAUGUUGUGGGGUGGAAAGCCUUGUGCGGCUGAGGAUGGGCCCGCGGCCUAUCAGCUUGUUGGUGGGGUGAUGGCCUACCAAGGCGACGACGGGUAGCCGGCCUGAGAGGGCGACCGGCCACACUGGGACUGAGGCACGGCCCAGACUCCUACGGGAGGCAGCAGUGGGGAAUCUUGCGCAAUGGGCGAAAGCCUGACGCAGCGACGCCGCGUGAGGGAUGACGGCCUCGGU
rnacentral:rRNA from 1 species